rnacentral:rRNA from 1 species
UACGAAGGGGGCUAGCGUUGUUCGGAAUUACUGGGCGUAAAGCGCACGUAGGCGGGUUGUUAAGUCAGGGGUGAAAUCCUGGAGCUCAACUCCAGAACUGCCUUUGAUACUGGCGAGCUUGAGUUCGGGAGAGGUGAGUGGAACUGCGAGUGUAGAGGUGAAAUUCGUAGAUAUUCGCAAGAACACCAGUGGCGAAGGCGGCUCACUGGCCCGAUACUGACGCUGAGGUGCGAAAGCGUGGGGAGCAAACAGG